rnacentral:lncRNA from 1 species
CUUAGUCGCCUUUUUGCCUUGGCAUUAAUUCUAGCUUCGUUAAUGGAGGAUGCUGAAAUCCAAUUUCCAUUUAUUUCAUUCUUUAUUUCCUCAGUCCCAGCAUUUUCUUCAUCACCGGAAAAGAGAGAGUCACUUAAGUUAUCAGGAUCUUAAAGAGAAAAAUGAAGAAAAAAAUUCUAAGUAUUUUAAGUAUCUACUGUUUUAUAGAUAUAGUGGUAAGUUAGAUUAGGUUGAAUCACAUGACAUUACCAUUUUUGUAGGUAAAUUACAGUCACAUAUUGGGAAUUUCAUCUACUUCAAUCUAAUAAACAACUAAAUAAGAUUACUUUUCACAUUAUCAAGGAAAGUAAACCAAGGCACUGAAUUUUAACAAAGCAUGUUUGUUUCUUACCAAAAACAAACCAAAUUUGUUUGUUUUUACCAAAAGAAGCAUGUUAUUUCACGUUUAGAUCAUAAAAUCUAUGCUAACAGCAACACCAAAUAUAAAACCCUUAGACUUUUAUGAGCUAAUUGGAGAUAUUAAGAAAAGACAAAGCAUCUUGAGAAGAGAGAUAAACUAAUAUUUAUAGAAUGCCUACUAUUAGGCACUGUGCUAGACACUCUAUCAUUUAUUUAUGCACAAGUUUGGCAGUUAAUUAUUAUAACAUUGAAGACAGAUAAGGAAACUAAGGCUGAGAAUGUUUAAAUGAUUUGCCAAACGUCCCAUAACUAGGUAUAAACACUUAAGAACUAUUAGUAAUCCAAAAGAGAAUGAAAGGCAUUUAGCAAAUAAUCGCAUAUGAUUGUUGAGCUGAACUGCUGAUGCUUUACUGCCUCAAGACAAAGUUUGCUUUCAAGAAAAGCCAACAUCUCAAAGUCCUAAUUCAUCUCCCUAAACUUUUCUCCUAUUACUUACCAUCCUGUAAAUCUUCCAGCCUAUAUAAAAUUGAUUCUUCUGAAAGAGAUCAACAUACUGGAGUUCCCAGUAGAAUGUCGCCCUCACUGUUAUUUUCAGUUAUCAAAAUCCUUUAGGAUAUAGCCCAAGUCUUACUCCCUGCAUUAAAACUUCCCUUACAACUCUAGGUACAGGAACACUAAUUGCUCACAUACUAUUCAUUCAACACGUCAUGGAAAUCACUUUCUUUUUAUAUAGCAGUCUUUUUCUUCCAACUAAGUCAUAAGCUUCAAAGGAGAAACCACAACUAGACUGUAUGUCCUUCUUUGUAUCCCCAUCACCUAGCAGAGUGUCCUUCAUACUCAAAUUCCAUGGAGAUCAAGUGGAGGCACUUGGCUUUGCCCUGAAAGCUCUUUAAGUCAGAAAGGCUACUGAAUUAGCUACCACUGGGCCACAGUUUUGUUCAUUAUUGUUAACGCAAAUCAGAGCUGAAUCACUCAAAUCAUUUUCUAUAUGCCUAAAGAUAAUUAUAACAUGUCAGGUCUAUGUGCAUGGGCUUUAAUAUGUUUUAAGACAUGUUGAAACCAAAAAUUUUCACCAACCUAUAAAAAGCAUACAUGUGUUUAAAUCUUUACAAUUCUUGACAUACUUAGGAAGGUAGGAAUGUUUUGUUUUAAACAAAAUCAUCAAUUAGAGCCAAAUUAUUUCACUAGUCUCAUAAGUAGUCUCCCUGCCUCCAGUCUUCAAACUAUACUGAAUGAAGACUGAUUUUCUCAAGCAUGCCCUCACUGAAGAUCCUUUAAAAGUAGUCCCAUUAUGUCACAAAAAAUGUAAACUUUUUUUUUUUUUUUUUUGAGACAGCGUGUCGCUCUGUCACCCAGGCUGGAGUGCAGUGGUGCAAUCUCAGCUCACUGCAAGCUCUGCCUCCCGGGUUCACGCCAUUCUCCUGCCCCAGCUGGGACUACAGAUGCCUGCCACUACGCCUGGCUAAUUUUUUUGUGUUUUUAGUACAGAUGGGGUCACCGUGUUAGCCAGGAUGGUCUUGAUCUCCUGACCUCGUGAUCCACCUACGUCGGCCUCCCAAAGUGCUGGGAUUACAGGCGUGAGCCACCGCACCCAGCCAAAAUGUAAACUCUUUACCUUGUAACUUAAGGUCCUUUAUGAUCUUGCCCCUGCUUACCUCACCAGAAUCACUGCUAACUACUCCCACACUCAAAUUGUCAGAGCUUAAGUUAGAUAUCAUAGGGAAGAGAUGGGAGGGAUUCAUUUGGCAGAAGAAUACUGAGUAUAUUACAAAAAGAGAAAGUAUAAAGUAGGAAACCGCUAAGAAAAUGCUUCAGUAAUUCAGUCACAAGCUAACUGGUAAAGAGCAAGGGUAGUAACUGUGGGAUAAAUAAUAAUGUUACACUUUUAAAGAAAAUAAUGAAGGACUUUUAAGCAGAAUGUAUCUAGGAUUAAAGAGAAGUCAAACAAUGCCUUAAAAGUUUUCAAACUGGUAAGAAGCCGGUGUUAGGAUGGUGUGUUUGGGACAUCAUCAUAACCAUCAGUAGUAAUUAUAGUCUUAGUGGAAGUAGUCGUAGUACUGUUUCUUUCAUCAUUACCAUUACUAUUGUCAUCUAUUAGAUACCAGGUUCCACACUACCUGGUACCUAUUAGAUUCCACACUACCUGGUACCUAUUAGCUAAGGCACUUUACAUAUGUGGUCUAUAAGCUUCAAGAGCUCUAGAAAGAAACUGUUUAUCCUCAUUUUACAGAAGGAAUGUGUUUCACAAGAAGUUACAUAUCUAGAAAGGAUUAUGGCUAGAAUUCAAACCCACAUUUUUAAUCCCAUAUAACUACAGAAAAUACAAAACUAGAAUACAGCAGAGUAUUGACAGCUAAAGAGACGAACAAGGGCGUGAAUGUAAAGAGAGAUAAACAAAAAUGAUUAAGUGGAAGGGGACAGAAAGAUCAGGAUCACAUAAAUUAGAUGACAUUUUCGUGUAAGAGUGGAUGGUUGAGAAAAACAUUAAACAUCUACCUGUAACAUAGUGCUUUCAUCAUUGUGCCAUUAAGGUGAACCACAAAACUGGUCCAGAAGACACAGGAGUCAGAACUAUAAUAAAAUGUCUUAAACUGUCCCUUGGAGUAUUCAAUUUAAAUACAUCUAUUUCCCAUAAUCGAGUUUUCUUUUCUUCAACAAUUUUAACAUCCUUUCAAGUAUGUUUGUGUCUCUGCAGCAGUAAACAUUCUCUCAGUAUAAUUUAUAUAUUUGACCUUAUCAUUUUUAACCCAUGUUUGUAUUAAUUGCUUUAUAUUUUGUUACUCAUACUCACCUAACUGUUGGAGUUCCAUAACCCCUAUUGAGCUGACUUUAAGAAAACCAAAAUUAAAAUGAUAAGCUGAGUACAGAAUGUGAUUGACUUCAAAAUUGUUUCCUACUGUGUACUAAUUCCCUCUUUCUGAAUUCUGAUAUCUCAAUAGUAACCACUCCAAUUGUAUAUGACCACAGCACCAGAAAAUCACAUUUUCAAUUACUGGUGUCCAAUGAGUGGCAUAAUUAGAAUAACAUUACCACACUUUCAUGUAUUACAUACCUAGUAUGUGCUUCACAGACUUAACACACAUAUACAAUAUCUCACUAAAUCCUAAUUAUAAAUCUAUACAGAGGGUAUUUAUAUCCCAAUUUUAUACAUGAAAAAACUGAAGGUCAGAAUAACCUACUUCCUCCAAGUAAAAGAGUAAGAGUGUGACUUGGACUAUUUGCUAUGUGAAGAAUUUACUACAAAGAGGGUCUAUCUUAGGCCUAUUCAAAUAUUGAAGAACAAGUCUUUUAUUUUAAAGCAGUGCUGGACACAAGCACCAAGAACAGGGUUAGAACUAGGUCUUAUUGUAGUUAGGAAACAAAAAGUACACAUUUUAAAGCUGUGUUUCUAUUUCUAAUAGAAAUAGAAUGCAAGCCAUAUAAGAAAUUUUAAAUUUUCCAGUAGCCACAUUAAAAAGUAAAAACAGGUGAAAUUAAUUUAAAUAUAUUUUAUUUAAUCUAAUAUAACCAUAUCAUCUCAACAUGCAAGCAAUAUAACAAAUUAUUGAGAUAGUUGACCUUCAUCUCAACUCAGAGUAGCCACAUUUCAAGUACUCAACAAACACAUGUGGCUAAGCACAGUGGUGCACACGCCUGUAAUCCAGCUACUGAGGAGGCUGAAGAGGGAGGAUCACUUGAGCCCAGGAGUAAUAACCACAUGUAGCUAGUGGUCACCAUACUGGACAGUGCAGAAAAGAAGCAAUUACCUAUAUGUAAAAUAUAUUCUAAACUGUAUUACCAUCCCCAUCUCAAUUAAGUAGGUACAUAUUAUCCAUUUAUAACCCUAAAGCAUACUCAUACAGCUAUUGUAUACAGCAGCACAGAAAUGAUCAUUAAUUACAUAAAUUUUUUUCAAUUUUUUACCAUACUUUAAAAAGAUCUGUAAAUAAACAAUGGUAAAGAAGCUUCAAAUUCAACAUGUUUGUUCAGAUCAAAGAAAACUAUGUACAUUGUAAACAAUAGUGAGUUAAGUCACUGAGGAAAGAAAGAUGUAGUAUUUAGUUACGAAAUACACUUAAAAUGACAGAAAAUAGCUUUCAAUAUUAAUAAAAUUAUAAGACAAAGAAUUAUCCAAAGUAUACCAAUAUGAACUGUUCUCACUAUUCAGAUAUUACACAAUUCUAAUUAACUUUUUGGGAGAUUAUUUUUAAAACUAUAAAUACAUUUUAAAUUAUCUUGAGUUACUCACAUUUGGUCAUCUAUUCCACAAAACUGUUCAUUUUUAUGAUAAUAACAUGCUAUUGAAGCACCAUGGAGAAUUAGGGAAAAUACCCUAGGUAAUUUAGAAUAUAAAAAUUAUUUGUUAGGAAAGAUACCAAAGAUACCAGUAAGUUUAUAUUACAGAAAUCACUAACUAGCCCAUGUGAAAAUAAGCAGGCUCACUAUUCUUCUCUAUUCUGUACUAUAUAACAGAGAAUAGGAAUAUGUGGAAUGUGAAAGGAUAGGCAGAAAAAUAGGACAUGUAAUGAAUUUCCAUGAAAAUAAAAAUCACAAACUUGACUUUAAAAAUAAUAUAGCCUGUUUUCUUACAGCAUGAAUAAAAGAGUAUUUAAAGAUAGUUUUUCUAUCAUGUUUUUAUAAAAUAUGGAAUGGUCUGAAGCUUCCUCACAACAUAGUCAAGCUUCAAGAUAUUUCAGCCUAGGCAACAUAGUGAAAUCCUAUCUCUACAAAAAAUAAAAAAUUAGCCUGGUGUGGUGGCACACACCUGUUGUCCCAGCUGCUGAGGAGGCUGAGAUAGGGGAGGAUCUCUUAAGCCCAGGAAAGUCAAAACUGCAGUGAGCCAUGAUCACACCACUGCACUCCAGCCUGGGUGACAGAGCAAGAUCCUGUCUCAAAACGAAGAAAAAAAGAAAAAAGGAUAUCCUUACUUACCUGCAGGGUUUACAUUCAGUAUCUGCUCAUUUUCUACAUCCAUUUUCCCUUAAUUUCGCUUGCACUGAUUAAACAAAUUACCUAAUGGAAAUCUUCCUUCAGAAUCUGUUUUUUUAAAAGAAAAAAAGAAAGCUUCAAGAUCUUUUAAACUGAUGUAAUUAAGCUGAAUUAAACUUACUUAAGCACACUGUAAAAACAAACGACAACAACAAAAAACACACAAUUCCAUUAAAUAAAACAGUUCACUUUACUUUCAAAGACAACUUACCCUAAUUAACAUUUGGUUCCAAUCUUUUUGAUAAAUUUAUCAAAGUCAAAAAAAAAAAUCCCAGAUUUCAGCAUGUGCCAAAGCACCCCUUUAAUUGGAAUUAAAAGAUAUGUUUGUGAUACAUGUUUACGUCAAGUUAAAGAAAUACACACAUCCAAAUCUUUUAGGAAUACCAAGCCUCAAAAUUAAUCUGAUAUACAUACAUAGGAAUAUAAAUACUGGAUAGUUCCCUACCAAUGAAUUAUGAGAACUACUCCAAAAUAAAAACAACACAGUUUUAGUUAAUAAAGAAUAUCACAUGACUGUGUUAUUUUUCACAUUACGGCAUAUCUGAAAGGCAGAUAUAUCUGCCACUCAUUACCUAGGUCUCUAUAAUUACUAGAAUAAGACUUUGGGAGAAACUUUUAAAAUCAGCUUUUUUGAUAAUAUUAUUUAUAUGAGAAAUCCUUUUUUGAUAAUAUUAUUUAUAUGAGAAAUCCAUUUUUUAAAAAUCUGAUCAUUUCAGAAAGGAGUAAGUACAACGACAUAAGCAUUUCAGUAUUUUAGGCCUCAGUUUCAAAAUGGCUUAAAAAUUAUUAAUACUGGAAGGUUUGAUGAAAUCAGUUACCUUUUAGACAAUUAACUUAGUGAUACAGAUCCAAUAAUGUUAUAUGAAAGAAAUAUCAAAAUAGUUUUCAAAAAAUAUAUUACCAGAAAGUGCAACCAAAUUAAGAUUUCAGAAUCUCUCUAGAAGUAUUUUUUAAAUAGUGGUUUAGAGUACUUAAGUGUAUGUUUAAGUCACAUAGGUUGGAUAUAAGUCCUUCUGGUCAUUUACAAUCAGGUUGCUAGCAGUGUGCUCUUCAGAGAUAUAAAAUGCACAAAUUAGUGAAAAUGCCUAAUAAAUUAAUUACAGAAAAGCACAUUUUUUCCUAUAUAACUUAACCUACUGUUAGAUGUCAUUUUAGGAUAACAAUGAUAUAUACAGAGCCUCCUGGGACUCAAAGGUGAAACUGACUUUUAAAUUCCUCAUUAUGUACUACUAUUUGCUAACAUAAGUUUAUAGCCCUUUUCUUCAGAAAACGGUAUUAUUUUGUGAAACAAAAACAAAUGGACCUUAUGUUAAAAUUAUAGGCUUCUUACUAUGGUAUAAUCCUCAGACUAAUAUGCUAUCAUAUUGCUUGGGAACUUAAGAAAAUGGUGAGAUCAUUCUCUAAUUCUGUUAAGAAUAAAUUAAUAUAUGUGAAUCUUUAUAAUCACUUUUCACUAUAACUCCCGCCAACUUUAGAUAUGAAAAAAAAAUCUUAAAAAUAUGUAGAGAUUCAUAUAAAUAUAUGAACAAAAAUGGUUUGCAAAUCUAAACACUCAGCAUCCUUCAUGGCUGAAAAGGCUACAUUCUGUUUUAAUUCCAUGCAUGAAAUACAUAUAGGAAAGGAAUAAUGUCAUAUGAUACGUGUUUCAGUUUUUUAGAGUUCCAUUACAAAGUCUUUUUCAUUCUUGAUGAAAGUAUAACUUUUGAGAGAAUACUUUCUGCAGAACCUAAUAAGCGAAAUGAUUAUAAUUGAUGUUCAUAAAGCCCUUUACAAUUCAAAAAGAAUUGUACAUGUAUUAUUUAAUGUACCUUACAGAAAAACCUUCGGGUAGGUAUUCCACCUUACACACAACUAAACAGAUUCAGAGAGGGUAGGUGAUAUGUCCAAGGACAGACAGCUGCUUAGUGGAACAGCCAGGAUGAGAAUCCAGACCUUCCAAAUCCAGUACUGUUUGCACAAGUUCAAUCCAAAAUUUUAAUAUCCCACAGGAAGAUUCUUUUCAAGGGUUAACAGAAGCUUCUUAAAACAGACUUCUGCUGUUCAAACUUUUAAAUGCUGUUUUCCAAACACUAAAAAUAAUUAUUUUAAACUAUUAUACAGAAGGCAUUCCGUCAGACAAAACUGUCAGGAAAUGACUAUCAUCUCUUUUAUUAAGAUAAAAACAAAGUUAUCUUAAUAAAAAAAAUAGUCCUGUGUCUUUAGGCAAUGAUAACCCGAUCAGGAACUCAAGUCAUAUUUGACAGCAACAAACACGUUUUAAGAGUUUAGAUAAGACAUGUUCCACGUUUUUACGCUCUUUAAAGUAGUAGGAUUUUUUCCAAUUUAUUUAACAACCCUUAAUUGGCCCAAACAAGAAAAUAUAAAGCAAAAAAUCCAAACGCUAUUUCCUUCAUACUAACCUACAAAAAUGAAUUUUCGAUGAGAAAACUAUACAUACAAGUUAGAAGAAAAUGAAGGCUGACAUUAAACACUGUUCUUUUCUCCAGUGUGUUACACGAAAUAUACAAUCAGAAGUAUUCAACUGCCAAGACAUUCCCUAAGAGACAGACCCUCCACUCCCCCACGAAAUAUAUACAUAUGUAUUUCCUGAAAUAUACCUCAUAAAUUGCUCUGGCAUUUUGGGGAGUCAAGCUUUGGCCAUUUAUUAACUAGGAUUACUUGUAUUCAUUCUUCGGCUACGAACGGCUAAUUAGCAGCUUAAAACCAGCUAAAAGCAUUCUACUACAGUAAUGCAAAAGCAAGCACUACAGAUAAUAUUCAAGCGGCAUUUAUUUUUGCAGUCCUAAUAUUUUUUCCUUUCACAUUAGUACCACAGAAAAAGCCAGUCAAUUAUAAUUCAAAUACACUUACUGAGAUAUUAACGUAUUCAAUAAGCCUAUAAUGAAGGAAUAUUAAGGGCAUAAAUACCAGUAACUCCUUGCUUAAAAAGCACUUGGUGGUUUCCCAAAAAAGUCACGUUAAGAAUAUCAAGAUUGUAACAAUUAAAGUAAAAAUACAAGUUAAAAACAGGGGAAACCCUUUUUUCCCCGACACCUAAUCGCAUUUCUGAUCGUUUUCAUCAUUUGUAGACACUACACAGUUGCUGGCUACGUAGCGAGUUCUCACAAGGGGGAGGGGGGCGAAAUUGACGUCUGCAGACAGUUUUGAAGCUCUUGCAAAACCCCAUGUACGUUACAGCAUCAAACUGACAAAUGGAGAAGAUGGCAUGCGUUUCACAGAAAGGGGGCUCCCUUCCCGGCUUUGUUUUCUCUGGGAGAUUUUAUUUUACCUAAACUAAAAAAAAGAGACCCUUUGCCGGAAGACGGGCGCGACGAAGUUCGCGCAGGGAUGGGGCGGCGGGCACGUGUUCGCCUCCCAGCGCCCCCGGCGAGGAUAGCGCGCGGCCCCUCCCCACAGCGGCCGGGCCUGUUCUCCCGCAGCGGGCUCAGGCUAGGACCCCCGAAGUCCCAGCCCGGGUCGGCCCCCGGAAGGGGCUGGGCCGGGGCCGAGGCCGGGGCUCCGGGUUCACGAAGGACAGGGGGCCGCAUCUUCAGAGGAUUCCCAGGGAGGGCAGGGGGCGGGGAGGGCGCGAAUCUUCCUCACAGGAUUUCAGUCCAGCCGGAAACACGCCUUCCAAUCCCGGCCCCCGAAUUCAACCUCCGCCAGAGGGGGAGGAGGGCUGAGGGGGACCUUCAAGGGCGAGCGCCUCGCGCGCCCCUCUCAGUGGGGAGAUGGCUCCGGGAGGGGGCGGGCCCGCGCCGACACGCUCCAGGCUGGGCUCAGAAAGAGGGAACCAGGCCGGAUGCCCGCAGUCCGGGGCGUUGGGGAGGGCGCGGCUGGACCUGCGGGGCUACAAGAAGGCAGCCGGACCCCCGCACCGCAGGCCCGGACCUGACAGGACCGCGACCCCCACGCCUCCGCCCCCGCCCCCUCCCAUCUUGCGGCUGCCUCCGAGGAGGGAUGGGGGAGAGGGCGCAGUCUUCCCGAGCGUGUGAGCCGCGCCUACUGGGUUUCAUCAUGUUGUCCAGGCUGGUCUUGAACUCCUGGGCUCAAGCAAUCAGCCCACCUCUGCCUCCCAAAGCGUUGAGAUUACAAGCGUGAGCCACCAUUCCUGGACCCUCGUAGUUUUUCUGGAGCCUCGUGAUUUGAUAUGAUCUUCCUGCCGCUGAUUCCUCACAGUGUUGGCUUGCCACACCUCCAGGGGCACUGAUCACAUUCUACCUGGCAUUAUUUCAUCUGAGUCCCUGUCCUAGCCCUUCUGCCCAUUAGACUGUAACCUUGUUUAGGGAAAGACCUGUGUCUUACUCAUCUGUGAUUUUGUUGUUGUUGUUGUUUUGAGACAGGGUCUUGCCCUGUUGCCCAGGCUGGAGAGCAGUGGUGCAAUCUUGGCUCACUGCAGCCUCAACCUGUUGGGGUCAAGCCAUCCUCCCACCUCAGCUUUCCAAGUAGCUGAGACUACAGGCCUGUGCCACCACACCCAGCUAGUUUUUUGUAUUUUUAGUAGAGAUGGGGUUUUGCCAUGUUGCCCAGGCUUCUCUUGAACUCCUGAGCUCAAGGGAUCUGCCUGCCUCGGCCUCCCAAAGUGCUGGGAUUACAGGCGUGAGCCACUGUGCCUGACCCACUCACCUGUCAUUGUAGUACUUAAGAUGCCUUGUUCAUUUAUUGUGCCUGUGCAAUAAAUACACCUUGAUUUGAGUUUACAAAGAUUCUCAGCAGUUGGUGGUCAUCCUCAUCUCCUGGGCGGGGGCCUCCUGGUGUGGCCAGUAUCUGAAUUAGUCUCAUAACUCAUGUUCACUUUUUAAAAUCGGAGCUUCCCAGACCUCAGUUUUGUUUUGUUAUUUUCCAUUAUCUGCAGCUGUCUCCUUUCCCCUCUCUCACCUAUACUCUACUGAUCAGUGACUGCUGGCUCCUUUGUUACCCAUCCUUCUCUUUCUCCACAUUUUUUCUCUUCUCAUCCCUUUCAGUUCUGGACUGUUUCCUUCUUCCUCCCUGUCUUUCAUUUAGUCAUUCAUUGAAUGUACUUACUAAGCACAUAUAGCAUAAUCAGGCUGUGUUGGGUAGGCAUCCCGAGCAAUUUUAAGAAGCAUCUAAAACAACCUGUUAUGUUUUAGCAAAUUGCCCCCAAAGGACCCAUUAGGGAGGAAAACGUUCAUGUCCUUUUUGCGUAUCAUCUCAAGCAGUACCCAUGAUGGCUGGGAUCCCAGAACCCACCUUUGAGAAUGCUGCCGUAUUUGCGUGUGGUUGACAAGGUUGGGCCAGACACUCAGGAAAUAGGGUUGUCGUCCUACCUCCCCCACUAACUUCCUGUAAGAACUUCAGCCCCUCUCAGGACCUUUUUCUUUACCAAUAAAAUUCAGAAAUUGGGCUCAAUCAGUAAUUCCCAAGUUAUUUUCCAAAGAACAUGAAUUUUGUGGAACUUUAAUAGAUAUCAUGCAAAAAAAAAUGUGGGAGGGAUUGUUCCAUGGUCAAAUGGUCUUGGAAAUAACUCGUUUAAACAAAAAUAAAACUGUUUCUUUACCCACA